GCAGGUAGCCGUUUGUUCUUGUGUCAGAUAAGCAGCCACACCGUCAGAAUGGGCCGUCUUGCUGCCUUCCUCUUUGUUUCCAUGCUUGCGGCUCCUGUUCUGUGCCAGUUGAUCACACCUUUCCAAGCCUGCCAGAUGAAAUGUUUGGACGACCAAAACGCAACAUGGCCGAACCACGCCACGCCGGAGAUUUACGAAUAUUGCCGGACACAUUGUCUUGAACACUGGCAAGAUUUACUAUUCGGGAAUCAAGGCACCCUGGGAUAGACGACCAUAGAGCUACUGUACAAGCUUAGAUUUCCAUCACAUUGUGUAAUAAAGGUUUUCAAACAAAACGCCAA